UGUUAAUAGCAUACUCAUUUGACGUUAGCUGCAGAAGAAGCACCGGCUAACUCCGUGCCAGCAGCCGCGGUAAUACGGAGGGUGCGAGCGUUAAUCGGAAGUUACUGGGCGUAAAGCGCAUGCAGGUGGUUUGUUAAGUCAGAUGUGAAAGCCCGGGGCUCAACCUCGGAAUUGCAUUUGAAACUGGCAAACUAGAGUACUGUAGGAGGGGGUAGAAUUUCAGGUGUAGCGGUGAAAUGCGUAGAGAUCUGAAGGAAUACCGGUGGCGAAGGCGGCCCCCCUGGACAGAUACUGACACUCAGAUGCGAAAGCGUGGGGACGCAAACAGGAUUAGACUACCCUGGUAG
rnacentral:rRNA from 1 species